rnacentral:rRNA from 1 species
GACGAACGCUGGCGGCGUGCCUAACACAUGCAAGUCGAGCGGGGACGUACGAGGAGUAAUCUGAGUAUGUUCCAGCGGCGGACGGGUGAGUAACGCGUGAGCAAUCUGUCCCUUCCUGGGGGAUAAGGAGCCGAAAGGCUUUCUAAUACCGCAUGAGACCACAGGGCCACAUGGCCAAGGGGUCAAAGGAGCAAUCCGGGGAGGGGUGAGCUCGCGUCUGAUUAGCUAGUUGGUGGGGUAACGGCUCACCAAGGCAACGAUCAGUAGCCGACCUGAGAGGGUGAUCGGCCACAUUGGAACUGAGACACGGUACAAACUCCUACGGGAGGCAGCAGUGGGGAAUAUUGGGCAAUGGGCGAAAGCCUGACCCAGCAACGCCGCGUGAAGGAAGAAGGUUUUCGGAUUGUAAACUUCUAUCCCAGGUGAAGAUAAUGACGGUAGCCUGGAAGGAAGCCCCGGCUAACUACGUGCCAGCAGCCGCAGUAACAC